rnacentral:lncRNA from 1 species
GUACCUGGAUUCUCAAGGCCCAGGCAAGUUGUGCCCUUGAUCACUUCUUUUUACCUACUCAUGUUCUAAUUAAUCAUAAUGAUCUGCAUAGGUUAAUUUUGAUGGGACCCAAUAGGUUACCCUAGUUUGUCUAUCUUUAUACCUUGUUUACCACUGAACUUUCUGGGUAGUACUUGCUAGUGCUAUAUGUGGUUUUGGGUAUGGAGAUACACUAUCCAUGGUUACAUUUUUGUUAUCAGUUGUUAUUUAUUGUUCAUGUUGAGAUCAUUAUGUUAAUUGGAACAUGGAGAACCACCCGGGAAAACAGUGCUACCACAGGGGUUUAAUGGGACGCCCUUGGCUGAUUAAUUAGGAAAGCUAGUGGAAGACUACCUUACCCGAAAGGGGCAAGGGCAGUAGGGGAGAGGUCAGUGCGGGGAGGCCCUCGGGAGGAUUUUGCUGCGAUGGCGGUCCUGCAAGGGAUUCCUGUACUGGAUCUUCCUAUAAACUGUAGCGGGUUUUCGGAAGCUAGUGGAACUUUGUAAAGGCCUCGUAGUGGAUCCCUAGCCAUUCACCUCGGAAGUGUCUAAGGGCCUUGCAAACCCUGGCGACAUGGGAUACACGACUUGUGGGUAAAGAUGCGCAACCUCUGCAGAGUGUAAAACUGGUAUACUAGCCGUGCUCACGGUCAUGAGCGGCUCGGACACUCACAUGAUUAAGUUAUGGAACUAAACUCAAUUUGUCAUAUGCAUUGCAUUGCAGGUGAUGUGGUUACUUUUGUUCUACUAUUUAAUUGGGUUGGUAUUUACUUAUACUUAGUAACUGCUAAUAAAAUUUUGACCAACUUUAAAAGCAAUGCUCAGCUCUAACCAUCUUCUUUGGUAAGCCUUACACUUCACGUGAGCUCCCACCUUUGGCGGGUUCAUACACAUUAUUCCCCACAACUUGUUGAGCGAUGAACGUAUGUGAGCUCACUCUUGCUGUCUCACAUACACCACAGGUCAAGACCAGGUACUGCAGGAUGAUGCUCAUGGAGGAUGCUGUGAUGAGUUCGUGAGAGGUCUAGGUCGUCGUCUCCCAGUCAACUUUGGGGUUGCUGGACCGUUGUCUCCUUAUAAUGUAAUUAUUUAUUUUGUAUAGAACUCCUGUUGUAUAUAAAGAUGUGACAUUCGAUCCUGUGCCACUAUACAUCAUAUGUAUGAGACUUGGUCCCAGCAUACCUGGUGUUUAUGUUAACCCCGGGUUUUG